rnacentral:rRNA from 1 species
AGCCGAACCAAUUGAUUACCUUCGGGUAUGAAGUUAGGGAAGCGAGCGGCGGAUGGGUGAGUAACACGUGGGUAACCUACCCUAUAGUCUGGGAUACCACUUGGAAACAGGUGCUAAUACCGGAUAAAAGGAGAGAUCACAUGAUUUCUUUUUGAAAGGCGGCGUAAGCUGUCGCUAAAGGAUGGACCCGCGGUGCAUUACCUAGUUGGUAAGGUAACGGCUUACCAAGGCAACGAUGCAUAGCCGAGUUGAGAGACUGAUCGGCCACAUUGGGACUGAGACACGGCCCAAACUCCUACGGGAGGCAGCAGUAGGGAAUCUUCCACAAUGGACGCAAGUCUGAUGGAGCAACGCCGCGUGAGUGAAGAAGGUUUUCGGAUCGUAAAGCUCUGUUGUUGGUGAAGAAAGAUAGUGAGAGUAACUGCUCAUUAUUUGCCGGUAAUCAACCAUAAAGUCACGGCUAACUACGUGCCAGCGGCCGCGGUAAUACGUAGGUGGCAAGCGUUGUCCGGAUUUAUUGGGCGUAAAGCGAGCGCAUGCGGAAAGAUAAGUCAGAUGUGAAAGCCCUCGGCUUAACCGAGGAAUAUCAUCGGACACUGUCUUUCUUGAGUGCAGAAGAGGAGAGUGGAACUCCAUGUGUAGCGGUGGAAUGCGUACAUAUAUGGAAGAUCACCAGUGGCGAACGCGGCUCUCUGGUCUGUCACUGACUCUGAGGCUCAAAAGCAUGGUUAGCAAACAUGAUCAGAUACCCUGCUA